rnacentral:rRNA from 1 species
GACGUAGGAGGCGAGCGUUGUCCGGAUUUACUGGGCGUAAAGCGCGCGCAGGCGGUCGCACAGGUCAUCUGUGAAAGCACCCGGCUCAACCGGGCUGAUGCGGGUGAAACCGUGCGACUUGAGGGCGGGAGAGGUCGGUGGAAUUCCCGGUGUAGUGGUGAAAUGCGUAGAUAUCGGGAGGAACACCCGUAGCGAAGGCGGCCGACUGGACCGAUCCGUGACGCUGAGGCGCGAAGGCCAGGGGAGCGAACGGG